rnacentral:rRNA from 1 species
AUGCUACAUUUACGUUUUCAGCAGUUAAUUGAUGGUUUGAUACAUGGCACAUUUAAUAUAGCGGGUGCUAGAGCUGCACUUAACCUUGGUAGCACAAUGCUUGGGUUCUACCCUGUUAGAGUCUUGCCUUCAAAGACAAUUAUCUUACCUGUGAAUCCAGAAAUUCUUCCGGUGGUAGGUUGUUUGAUGUUUCACCUUCUGCCAGCUCUAUUCUACUUAUCCACAAUACUAACAACAAUAUCCUAUUCUUCCUGGCCCGUAGAUGGAGGAUUAGAAAGAAAUGGUCUUAUAAAUGGUUUAUUGUAA